rnacentral:tRNA from 1 species
GCCGGGGUGGCGAAAUGGCAGACGCAUCGCACUCAAAAUGCGACGGGGGUGACCCGUGCGGGUUCGAAUCCCGCUCCCGGCACCA